UUAGUAACGGCGAGUGAAGCGGCAACAGCUCAAAUUUGAAAUCUGGCCCUCGGGUCCGAAUUGUAAUUUGUAGAGGAUGAUUUUGGUGCGGUAUCUUCCGAGUUCCUUGGAACAGGACGCCUUAGAGGGUGAGAGCCCCGUACGGUUGAAUGCCUAGCCUCUGUAAAUCUCCUUCGACGAGUCGAGUAGUUUGGGAAUGCUGCUCUAAAUGGGAGGUAAAUUUCUUCUAAAGCUAAAUAUUGGCCAGAGACCGAUAGCGCACAAGUAGAGUGAUCGAAAGAUGAAAAGCACUUUGAAAAGAGGGUUAAAUAGCACGUGAAAUUGUUGAAAGGGAAGGAUUUGUGACCAGACUUUUUCUGGGCGGAUCAUCCGGGGUUCUCUCCGGUGCACUUUGCCCAGUAAAGGCCAGCAUCGAUUUUCGGCGGCGGAUAAAAGCAGUGGGAAUGUGGCUCCCUACGGGGAGUGUUAUAGCCCAUUGUAUAAUACGCUGCUGGGGAUCGAGGUACGCGCUUCUGCAAGGAUGCUGGCGUAAUGGUUAUCAAUCACCCGUCUUGAAACACGGACCAAGGAGUCGAACAUUUAUGCGAGUGUUUGGGUGUUAAACCCUCACGCGUAAUGAAAGUGAACGGAGGUGAGAGCCCGUACGGGUGCAUCAUCGACCGAUCCUGAAGUUUUCGGAUGGAUUUGAGUAAGAGCAUAACUGUUCGGACCCGAAAGAUGGUGAACUAUGCGUGGAUAGGGUGAAGCCAGAGGAAACUCUGGUGGAGGCUCGCAGCGGUUCUGACGUGCAAAUCGAUCGUCAAAUCUGCGCAU
rnacentral:rRNA from 6 species